AAUAGCAAGUGAGCUUUGUUCUCCGUACAGUUCUCAAGAGCAACUGCUAGGUUUUAGCAAACAAAAAUGUGCUUUUCAAGGUUUUGUAAGUAUCUUUAGACCAGUCCUUCAAAUACUGAUUUUUGAGAAGUGUCAUAACUGUCAUAUAGAUGGCGUGUUGAUUGUGUCAGUUUUAUGGUCUUGUGGAGUUUGCUGUCAAAAGUUAAGGUAUCUUUUCUUCGAAAAUUACCAAUGAAUUCAUGGGUAAAUUCGAGAUAUUUCAUGUAUAACUUUUUGGUGAUGUGUUCUAUAACGUGUACAGUACAUGUUGGAAUAUAACCGUAAUGUUUCUAUUCAACUUACAGGAGGAAACGUGAAAGCAGUGAAAGGUUCGUGCAGCCUACCGUCAACUAUUUUGUUCAAAAUCAUUGUAUUCUAUUGAAUAUGCCAUCGAAAUGAUACAGGUACUAGGUACCAACACUAGCUUUAUUUAACUAUUGCUGAAAUAGAUAUUCUUUUUAUCUUUUAUUAGGAUUCAUCAUAAAUAUUCACCGUUUGUAUUGGACUUGCUAGAUCACCAACUCCAGCAUGGACCAAUCUCUCAUUCCAUCUUCAGAGAACCUUGGAUAACUGAUUGGUGGUUUCAUCUUUCAUGUAUCAUAGACAGCAAAGCACAUUAUGAACAAAUUAUAAACAAGACUAAGAAAAGCCAUGCUGUCCAUUGAAGAAUAAGGACAAUGACUAUACAUUCAACAAGGUUCCUUGUUUGCUAACCCGUUGGCUGCUACCCUUGAAUCUCCCAUUUAACUUCUUUACACGGGUCUUCUAUAUUUGAGGUUAAUCCUUCCCCGCUAUUUAAUAGACUUCAUCUGCUGCCAGUAAAGCAGGGGGAGACACUGCCCGACUGACUCGACCAGGGAGAUUACCCGGCCAUGGUUAAGAGAAACCGGAAAAAGAACGAAGAGAGCUGAGGAGCAGUUAUUAUGAGAGCAGUGUGUCAUAGUAGGCUUCCGGCUUAGACUCAUGACCCUCCAACAGAUUUCAUCGAAUCAUGCGCCUUGCAAGUCCCCGUUCGACCAAACAUCUCCCUUCCUCCUGGUUGUCGCAGCGAGUGAGUGACCACCGGCGGGCGUUGGUUAGUGGUUAUUUAGGGAAACGGGGCCACUGAAGAAGGGAGCCCAGAUAUGCACUUGUAAUGUAUCUAACAACUACACAAUUUAUCAGUCUUGAAUUACAGGAUUCUCUCAUCAGUUUUCACCAAUGAAUGAAGUAGGGUCCAGUGGAUGAUCAGUAGCGAAGGAGUUACCCUGUAAGCAGAAUGAACAUUUAUUUGGAUGACAAUAAAUUUUCAAUAAGAGUUUAGCGACAGAAAGCAAUACCUCAAUUAAGAGGGCCAGUUUAAAGAAGUAAAAAUGGAGAUUCACAGGUACCAGCCAACGGGUUUUCAAACAAGGGACCUUGUUACCUGUGUAGACAUUGCCCUUUUUCUUCAAACGACAUGACUUCUCAUAAAUCUGGCAUGCGAAUUUAGAAACAUUUAGUUUAGACCCUGCAAAUUUAUAAAAAGAAAGUCAUUUUGUUUAUAAUUUGUUGUCAAUGUGCUUGACAUCUCACCUUGUUUAUAAUUGGUUAUCAAUGUGCUUGAUGUCUAUAAUCUAAAAGAUUAAUGAAACAGUUAUUAGUAUAAACUCCCAAUCGUCUCUUAUAAACAUAGAUAAACUUAAUUGCAAAUUAAUACUUUUAACACUCACAAGACUUGAACAGUACACUUUAAUUAGCUUCAGCCUAGACUGACACAUUGAGAACACUUCAGAAUGACACCAGCACUACAGACUGCUUGCAGCAGCUGCAGCUCAACUUGAACUCCCUUUUCACGAGGUGGCUGCAAUAGAACCAUCUGCAUGACAACAAUGAAGAUCAGACUUUGUUGUGCUCUUAAAUUAUUUGAUAGAAAAGCCCUACCUGAACAUAAACUGAUAAAAUAUAUUGCAUUAUUGCAGGGAAAUUAAUCAACAAAUUUACUUUUAUUUCUCUGAAGUAUAGAUUCUGGAAAUCUACAGGCAGCAAGACGCUCGAGGCACGACAAUUUGGCGAAAUGUACAGGCACUUGAGCUACGAGAUGAUUUGGUCAUUAACUGUUUACAUGCUAAUUCACCUGUAAAUUUUAUACAUAAAAAAUUUACAUUAAAUAACCCUAAGAUUUUAACAAGAAAUGUACCGUUUCAUUUUCAGCAUGGGAAACGUCACGAUAAACAUUCAACAAUCAACACUCAUUUCGUCUGCGUCUGUUAGAAACAACAUGGCGCUACCUGGUGGACAUAAUUUUAGCCACCUAGCGACAGCCAAUUGGAUUGCUUGCUUGCAGACAGCACGCAACACCUCAAUUUGAAUUCGUCACGCCUUUCAAGUUUCACUAAUAACUGGCACGAAAUGAAUCAAGUGGGGAUGAAGACUAGAUUAUUCCCGCAGCUUACCCUGUGACACAAAACAUAAAUUAUUAAGUUAGCUAUUUCAGACUUUCCUUCACUCUUGCAACAUAAAAAUCUAUAAAUAUUAACAGAAAGUAUGGGGGGGUCAAGACAAAAAAUAAAACUUGCAAUUUUCUGAAGAAAAGAAUUAUUUUCCUGCCUGUGGCUGUAAGGCAGCAGCAACAGUUAUCUGUGUCUGAUUUAGUGUUCAAACUAACUUUUGGCAUCAAACUGUCAUGUCAAAUCUAAAGGAUA
rnacentral:lncRNA from 1 species